ACUCUCUUAGGCAGCAUAUAUACUAAAAUUGGAAUGGUACACAGAAGAUUAGCAUGGGCUCUGUGCGAGGAUAACACAUAGAUUCCUGAAGUCCAUAUUUUU